rnacentral:rRNA from 1 species
UACGGAGGAUCCGAGCGUUAUCCGGAUUUAUUGGGUUUAAAGGGUGCGUAGGCGGCCUUUUAAGUCAGCGGUGAAAGUCUGUGGCUCAACCAUAGAAUUGCCGUUGAAACUGGGGGGCUUGAGUAUGUUUGAGGCAGGCGGAAUGCGUGGUGUAGCGGUGAAAUGCAUAGAUAUCACGCAGAACUCCGAUAGCGAAGGCAGCUUACCAGACUGCGACUGACGCUGAAGCACGAGAGCGUGGGUAGCGAACAGG